rnacentral:rRNA from 1 species
AUUGAACGCUGGCGGCAUGCUUUACACAUGCAAGUCGAGCGGCAGCGCGGGGGCAACCCUGGCGGCGAGCGGCGCACGGGUGAGUAAUGCAUCGGAACGUCUCCUCGUGGGGGGGAUAACCCAGCGAAAGAUGGGCUAAUACCGCAUGAGCGCUGAGGAGGAAAGCGGGGGACCUGCGAAGGCCUCGCGCUGGAGGAGCGGCAGAUGUCCGAUUAGCUCGUGGGUGGGGUAAAGGCUUACCAAGGCGACGAGCGGUAGCUGGUCUGAGAGGAUGAUCAGCCACACUGGGACUGAGCCACGGCCCAGACUCCUGCGGGAGGCAGCAGUGGGGAAUUUUGGACAAUGGGGGCAAACCUGAUCCAGCCAUGCCGCGUGAGUGAAGAAGGCCUUCGGGUUGUAAAGCUCUUUCGGUCGGAACGAAAUGCGCGGGACUAAUACUCCUGUCUGAUGACGGUACCGUAAGAAGAAGCACCGGCUAACUACGUG